AACGAACGCUGGCGGCAUGCCUAACACAUGCAAGUCGAACGAGAUCUUCGGGUCUAGUGGCGCACGGGUGCGUAACGCGUGGGAAUCUGCCCUUUGGUUCGGAAUAACAGUUGGAAACGACUGCUAAUACCGGAUGAUGACGAAAGUCCAAAGACUUAUCGCCAGAGGAUGAGCCCGCGUAGGAUUAGCUAGUUGGUGUGGUAAAGGCGCACCAGGCCGACGAUCCUUAGCUGGUCUGAGAGGAUGAUCAGCCACACUGGGACUGAGACACGUCCCAGACUGCUAUGGGAGGCAGCAGUGGGGAAUAUUGGAAAAUGAGCGAAAGCCUGAUCCAGCAAUGCCGCGUGAUUGAUGAAGGCCUUAGGGUUGUAAAGCUCUUUUACCCGGGAUGAUAAUGACAGUACCGGGAGAAUAAGCUCCGGCUAACUCCGUGCCAGCAGCCGCCGCCG
rnacentral:rRNA from 1 species